UCGUCAUGCCAAUUAGGUUGGUUUUAGAUCGGCACAAUAGCGGCAGAAGAGACUGUUUCCUGCUAUGGUUUGCCGAUGGUUUGCCAACUUAACCCCGACAUCGGCAGUGCGACGCUUUGCCGAUCAAUUCCCUGCAGUUCCCUUCCGAUGGUUUGCCAAUGGUUUGCCAACUUAACACCGACCAUCAACUGACGAAUGUCCCAAACACAGUUUGCCGAUGGUUUGCCAACCUAACCCCGACCAUCGGCAACGCGACGCUUUGCAGAUCAUUUGAAGACCCCAAAACCAAAAGCCAGCGCCUGCUUGCUUGCAACCUGAGCAGCGCGAGUCCUGUUUGAAAUUAUUUCUGUUGUCAAGGGAACGAACAUUUUCUGUUUACUUUACUGGACGUCGCAGCAGUAGCCACCUCAAUCGUUUUUAGUUAGACGGCAUUACCAUUAUUUCUGUUGAAAUGUAGGUUUCAACAUUACAAGUCAGGCUUUAUUAAACAUUUAAUUAGGUUGCUGAAAUAAAUCUCUCCACCUGUAAUGCUGUCUCGAAGGACAUCCUCGUCGAGUUUCUAAUCGAUAUCCGACCUCUUUCCCUUACCGUUAGCAAGUUAGCUAACGUGUCAAACGUACCCAGCAACCAGGCAUACUACUCCCGUAAUCAAGUUUCCUGCUGGAGUGGGGCUGUUGAUUCUUGUCUAGCCCUGCCCAUGAUGACUGAUUGAAAGGACAUUACAAAAUAGACUACGUCAAUUCACCACAAGUCAAAAUCAGAUCAACAGACAGGGACCUUCAGCCUUCUCUUGGGAAUAUGCCAGAUAAGCCAUAACAAGAAAAAAUGGUGUUAUGCCCCUGCGGUUGUGAAGAGGAUGCUGUGGAGGUGGCAGCAUGAACGUGUCACACAGACAUUGGCUAAACUACUCGGCUUCUACACUUGCCCUCAGAGUUCACAUAUGGUUAAGUGCACAGGUGUCCAUCCAGGUUCAUGCUGAUGCUGGUAACAAGAGGAAAACAUGCUGAUUGGAAUGAUUCAACGAUGGACACUUUGCUUAAUUGUGGAAAAAAUAAAUGGGAAAACGUC